CAAUGACGGGUAUCAUCAAUAUGAUCCCAGAUCUCGAAGAUGAAGAAAAUUUACGGUAGUGCAGUACAUACAAUUAAAAAAUUGUGCAGCAAAAAUAAUAGAUUAACAAUUUAAUCCUAAUCACAUGUAUAAGAUCUAAUCUUAGACUACCACAUUAGGAUCUUUGAUAUAAAAAAUAUGUGCUUUAGAUCUAAAAAUAAAAAUCACAUCGAUCUC
rnacentral:lncRNA from 1 species